GAUCCCGAAUUAGUAGUGUCAGUACAAAGCAAGAGUUUGGAGACAGCCAUCACCUGGUGAGCUGUAGGAGAACCUGGGGUUGGGAGAAGAACCAGCUGCCAAGAGGGAGAAAGAAGGGGCCCCCGAUGGCCAAGGGGACAGAAUGAGCUAACGAUGUGAGGGAGGAGAUCCAGGUUAUUCCUCAGGAACUUCACAAUGGGUGCUUUGUGGUCUCCUGUCUGCCUAAACAUUUCUGUCAAUGUACCUUUGUGUGAAUCGGGCAACAGAGUGGAGUUCAGUCUCUGCCCAGUUUGGUGCACAGAGCCAUCAGCCUGGGGGCACAUGACACCUCUAAAUGAAGCCUUGCUGGGGCACAACCCUCCUUUUACCACAGAGAACACUCACCAUGGUGACCAGAUGGUAAGCAUUUGUGAGAAUCUUAGUUUCCUUCUAUGGCUGAAGAAUGGUUGACUUUUCCUCUGUUGCAUGCUCUUUUCUCUCCCAGCCUAUCAUGUGAUCCAGUUGGGGGUUCUCUUAGAGUAUUUGUUUUCUGUCACGAAAUAUUUCUCAUAAGAAACUAACCAAGAGUAGUGUUCAUGUACUAACUUGAGUAGAAGUGAAAACUGGCAUAUAAUGGGCAGUUAAGAACAACAGGAAAAAUAAGAGCUAUGCCAAGGAAGAGUGGGACUUAGAGCAGUAAAUUCUGUCAUCUCAAUUUAUGUUUUCCUUUUAGUCCCUUUUUCCCAGAUUCACGCUUUUCCUCUCAGACACACGGCAGCAUGGGUGUUAUCCUCGAGAAAGCACAGCUACAACAAAGCCACUUGAGUGGCAGUUUAUGAUUGGAAGCAUUCUUGAGUGUCCCAAAUGUGUUGUAUCUUUCAUGACAAGUUUCCCCUCAAAACGGGAUUUGGGGUAUGUGUGUCUAAGCCCAUCCUGUAUAUUACUGUCCUAUGUAGAAAGGUGGCAGUGAUUCUCUUCAUGUUUGAGCCACAUCUCAGCCACAGUAUAAAGCAGCACACAGAGAACCCAUCUAUUUCUUUAAAUCACUGAUCUCAAACACAGAACUUUUCCUUUAAACAUUCUUUUUAGAAUCAGUUCAGUCAUUCCUGAAAUACCAAAAUGCUAGUGUUCCACCAUAAAAAAUAGAUUUUCACUGGAGAAAAUAGUGGCAGUUUCACUGAGGAUGUGCCUUCACACACACGGGAGAGGGGUGGCGUGGAGCCAGGCAAACUGACCCUCUGAAUAAAAAGAAGAAAGGCAGUAGGAAGAAAAGCAGCCAUUAAGUGUCUCGGUCUGACUGGCCUAUGGAGUAAAGGGCAUAUAUUUAUAUACAGAAGGUUGCUAUGAUGCCUAUGGGAAUACUAAUCAUAUUUGGAAUAUUUGUAGGUUUUUUCAGGGAGGAGGGAUGGCUUUUGAAUUCUCACUAGGUUAGUGUGUGGUCCUAGCUAGAGUCGUAGCUCUCACUCUAAAGGACUAAAUUUCUGGACUGGGUUUGGCUUUUCGCACGAUGCUGCAGCUGGGAGACCUGGAACUGACGCCGAGACACUUGAAUUAGUUUUAGCAGAAGAGAAAUGGAGGAGCCAUAGAACAUUAAGGAUGAAUUCAGGAAGGCCUGAGACCAUGGAAAACUUGCCUGCUCUCUACACUAUUUUCCAAGGAGAGGUUGCUAUGGUGACAGACUAUGGAGCAUUUAUCAAAAUCCCUGGCUGUUGGAAGCAAGGUCUGGUCCAUCAAACUCAUAUGUCAUCCUGUCAGGUGGAGAAGCCCUCUGAAAUAGUAGAUGUCAGAGACAAAGUGUGGGUGAAGCUUAUUGGCCGAGAGAUGAAAAAUGAUAGGAUAAAAGUAUCCCUCUCCAUGAAAGUUGUCAACCAAGGGACUGGGAAAGACCUUGAUCCCAACAACCUUAUCAUUGAGCAAGAAGAGAGGAGGAGGCGUUCCUUCCAGGAUUACACUGGGCAAAAGAUCACCCUCGAGGCUGUCCUGAACACCACCUGCAAGAGGUGUGGCUGUAAAGGCCACUUGGCAAAAGAUUGCUUCAUGCAGCCGGGUGGGACCAAAUGCUCUCUGAUACCUAAUGAGGAAGAGGAGAAGGAAGAAGCAAAGACAGCAGAAGUUGAGAAGCCUGACCCCAUGAAGAAUUCUUCUAGAAAAAGAAAGAAGGAAAAGAAGAAAAAGAAACAUAGAGACAGGAAGUCAUCUGACUCUGACAGCUCAGACUCUGAGAGUGAUACAGGCAAGAGGGCAAGGCACACAUCAAAAGACAGCAAGGCAGCAAAGAAGAAGAAGCACAAGGAGUGAGAGUAGGAACCAGGGGCCUUGUGCCUUGAAGCCCUGGCUCCUAGAAAGACUCAACAGUGAGAAUAUGGCUUCCCACCCCAUUAAGUUCACUCCCAUGGGAGAUGCAUCCCCUCGUGCAACAGGCAGGUUUGAGAGUUAGAGGUCACAAGUAGCUGCCUGAAUGAGUUGUUGUUUCCUUAUCACUCCUGGUCCUUUUGCAAGUGACCCCUGCAGCUCACACAUUCAUUCAUCCAGCUUCCCUCAUUCAGCAAGAGGUCCUAUUACCCUCUCCAGUAGCCACUGCCAGAGCCGGAUUCCUGCACAGGAGUCCAGGCUAGCGCCACAGGGACUGCUGUGUUGGUAAGUCUGGCUGUCGUUAGAGAACAGAGUGAUUGGCCCCUUCUAUUGGUCUGUUUGGGCUGACUGGUGGGUGAUCUCUGCUGCAUCCAACAUAGGGGCAGAGAGACUGGCAGCCAGAGGGAGGAUGUGUUAAGAAGUGGUGCUCACCCUUUCCAUCCCCCAGCAUGGUUCUGUGCUAGAAGGGACAGCCAGUGGCCACAGCCAGAAAAACGAUCAUUUGCCGUGUGACUUAGCUAGUGUAUGACAUUCCAGCGGACCACUGAACUGGACAGCUGAAACCAAGAUCAUUGUUCCACUUUGUAUUUACUACUGUGUAAGUCAGUUGAUUCUACUUCGGGUCCCUGCUUAAAUUCCUGGCACUAAAAACAAAAAAAAA